CUACGGGCGGCAGCAGUGGGGAAUAUUGCACAAUGGGCGCAAGCCUGAUGCAGCAACGCCGCGUGAGGGAUGAAGGCCUUCGGGUUGUAAACCUCUUUUAGCAGGGAAGAAGCGAAAGUGACGGUACCUGCAGAAAAAGCACCGGCUAACUACGUGCCAGCAGCCGCGGUAAUACGUAGGGUGCAAGCGUUGUCCGGAAUGAUUGGGCGUAAAGAGCUCGUAGGCGGUUUGUCACGUCUGCUGUGAAAAUCCAAGGCUCAACCUUGGACUUGCAGUGGGUACGGGCAGGCUAGAGUGCGGUAGGGGAGAUGGGAAUUCCUGGUGUAGCGGUGGAAUGCGCAGAUAUCAGGAGGAACACCAAUGGCGAAGGCACAUCUCUGGGCCGUAACUGACGCUGAGGAGCGAAAGCGUGGGGAGCGAACAGGAUUAGAUACCCCCGUAGAC
rnacentral:rRNA from 1 species